rnacentral:rRNA from 1 species
UACGUAGGGUGCGAGCGUUGUCCGGAUUUAUUGGGCGUAAAGAGCUCGUAGGCGGUUUGUCGCGUCGGAUGUGAAAGCCCGGGGCUUAACUCCGGGUCUGCAUUCGAUACGGGCAGGCUAGAGUUCGGUAGGGGAGAUCGGAAUUCCUGGUGUAGCGGUGAAAUGCGCAGAUAUCAGGAGGAACACCGGUGGCGAAGGCGGAUCUCUGGGCCGAUACUGACGCUGAGGAGCGAAAGCGUGGGGAGCGAACAGG